UACGAAGGGGGCUAGCGUUGUUCGGAAUUACUGGGCGUAAAGCGCACGUAGGCGGGUAUUUAAGUCAGGGGUGAAAUCCCAGAGCUCAACUCUGGAACUGCCUUUGAUACUGGGUACCUAGAGUGUGGAAGAGGUGAGUGGAAUUCCGAGUGUAGAGGUGAAAUUCGUAGAUAUUCGGAGGAACACCAGUGGCGAAGGCGGCUCACUGGUCCACUACUGACGCUGAGACGCGAAAGCGUGGGGAGCAAACAGG
rnacentral:rRNA from 1 species